AGUGAACGCUGGCGGUAGGCCUAACACAUGCAAGUCGAACGGCAGCACAGUAAGAGCUUGCUCUUACGGGUGGCGAGUGGCGGACGGGUGAGGAAUACAUCAGAAUCUACUUUUUCGUGGGGGAUAACGUAGGGAAACUUACGCUAAUACCGCAUACGACCUACGGGUGAAAGCAGUGGAUCUUCGGACCUUGCGCGAUUGAAUGAGCCGAUGUCGGAUUAGCUAGUUGGCGGGGUAAAGGCCCACCAAGGCGACGAUCCGUAGCUGGUCUGAGAGGAUGAUCAGCCACACUGGAACUGAGACACGGUCCAGACUCCUACGGGAGGCAGCAGUGGGGAAUAUUGGACAAUGGGCGCAAGCCUGAUCCAGCCAUACCGCGUGGGUGAAGAAGGCCUUCGGGUUGUAAAGCCCUUUUGUUGGGAAAGAAAAGCAGCAGGUUAAUACCCCGCUGUUCUGACGGUACCCAAAGAAUAAGCACCGGCUAACUUCGUG
rnacentral:rRNA from 1 species